UUGGAGAGCUGGAGGUGUCCAGUGAGUUGUGACAUAUAGAAUUACACUGGGUGCCAGGAGCCCAGCCCCUAGCUGCAAAUCCAGAAAAUGUCUCCUGCCAUUUGUCUUCCAGAUGUCAGUGGACAACAAAGUUGCUCUGAGGUCCUUCCUGGAUCUUCUGCCCCACCUCUUCCCAGUAGCAAGAGAGAAACUUGUAACCGCACAUAGAAACUCACAGUGAGAAAAUGAUAGCCACAUGGAGAUAUUGAUCUGUACUGCCAAACCCAGUGGGAACAUUUUCCGCAUUUAAGUGGCAACUUUCCACAGCGCUUUAAUAGGAAAUACUGUCAAGUUUCCAACAAUGUCUCCAGUUGGGUGCUACUGGCCAGGUAUCGAAUGCAAAAAACCCCUGGUUCCUGUCUUAGAAUACAUUUUAAAUCGACAAACUUUAAAA